CCCUUAGAUGUUCUGGGCUGCACACGUGCUACACUGGCAGGUUCAGCGAGCUUCAUGCCCUGAUCUGAAAGGAAUGGGAAAUCUUUUCAAAACCUGCCGUGCUUGGGAUAGAUGUUUGCAAUUAUUCAUCUUCAACGAGGAUUGCCUUGUAAGCGCACGUCAUCAGCGUGCAUUGAAUACGACCCUGUAUUCUGUACACACCGCCCGUCGCUCCUACCGAUUGAAGUUUUCGGUGAGUUGACAGGAGGAUUUUUUUGAAACUGGUUCGCCAGUGGAUUUUAGAUCCAAAUGCCAACGAAUCGAAGGCUUUAGAGGAAGGAGAAGUCGUAACA
rnacentral:rRNA from 1 species